rnacentral:miRNA from 1 species
UUUCUGACUCAACUCUCCCUUAG